GAAAUCUCCAUACGUAACCAGUCUCAUUGGCUGUCCACAUUUCCCCAACAUGUGGAUGGUCUCUUUAAGCUGGGAGACUGAGGUUUCUUAAACUCGGAACAACUCAAGUUCUGUCGUGGCAGCUAUAAUUCCAAGUUCCAGGACACUAUCGUCGUUCAUACAUAU
rnacentral:snoRNA from 1 species